UUCCAAUGUAGAUGGAGCCAUGUGACACCCAGAGUCCAUCAUCAGCAACACACCAGUUACGGAAAAGACUCCAAAAGAUCACCAAAAAGAGGACUGGGCAACACUGUGAAUUUCAAGUCUUUGAUGAACCAUCAUUCCAGUAACCCUGCCAGAUACAGAUACCACUGGUCUUAACUAGCACAGCCAGAGCUGAAGUUGCCAAGAACUCUGGAAAAAAAAGGGAGGAAAACAAAGUCAGCCGACUGCAUGCCAAGGAGGAGAAAAACAGGUACCUCUGGAGCCCUCUCCACAUGAUGCUAUGGAGGGAAUUUUUUACCCUGUGGAGAAAUACCAGAGUUUUAAUUCCCUAUGGAGAAAGCCGAAAGAAGCAGCUUCGACUCAACGC